rnacentral:lncRNA from 1 species
UGCUGAGAAAAAUUUUAAAAAAUAAGUUUAAAAAAUACAACAGAUUAGUGAAUAAUGAACUUAUGAAUCAACAAAGCAGUCGAGUAAAAGACUUUCAACCAUAAAUUAAGACCUAAGAGCCUUAAUGAACAUUACCAAACUAAAUGAGACAUAUACUUUAGUGGAAUUUUAAAUUUUAUCAUCAAUAUGUAAUAUCAGCACAGGUGCAAAUAUAAACCUCAACCACAGGAAUUUAAGCAGGGGAGAGAAUAUUGUAUUUGCUUCUCAGCCAGUUUCCAGAUAUAACAUUCAUGCAUUCACAUAAAAAAAACUUAUGCGUAAUUUCUGUGAUCCUCGCACUAUCGGAAUAUUUGAUAUAUUUAGUCCAUCCAUUUGAUGACAUUUAACAUAUUGUCUCUAGUACUCUAUUUUGUCCAUUUUUUUCCCCUUUGGUGGAAAUGGAUAACCAUUUUUUGAAUAGAUAGAUUAAAGACCAAUGAAUUAUAAGAUUAAUUAACAGGAAUUUAUAAAACUGGCCUAAUCAUAGUUGACAUACUAAUAGGACUUCCUCAUGGCUGAGUCUAUUAUACCAUAAAGUUUUUACAUACAUUACUACUAAACUGUUGUGUUCUAUUAUCGACAAAUAUGUAAGCAUGUGUGAAAUUUGUUUCUUAAAAGAUUCCGCAACUCAGUGCACUUAAUGUAUAUCAUGCAGGCUUGACAUACAUGCGUAACCUUAAGGGUAAAGUCUCCAAUAAUAGAGUAAUACCACGUGUGCAUUACAAAAUAAGGACAAAUUCUGUGAAACUUUUAAUUUCUCUUUACUUCCUAGAAAUUCAUACAGAAAGGUUAUUCCAAAUAACAAAUAGAUACAUGAGAAACAUUUUUAUUAGCUGUAUCGCCACUCAUAUUUUACUUGUGAAUUCCCUUUAUAAUUUCUUAUACAAACAUACACAACAUGCUACCAAAAAAUAAAACAAUAUAAUUAUAAUGAAAACAGGACAGUAUUUUAUUUUCACAUAUACAUAGAAGCAAAACAUAAGAAAGAAUAAGUAUAGUCGUGCUCUAGCCAAUCAAAU